ACACACAGACACACUAAACCACAGGGCAACUAAAAAGCAAAGUACACGGGGGCCACACGAAUAUUAAAGUUUGAUGUGAAGCAGGAGGCCACAAAAUAUCAUUAAGUCAACUGCAAAUGGCCCAUGGGUCACGAGUUUGGCACCUCUUAUGUAGAACUUCAGUUGUUCAACAGUCGCCAUUGUCUUCAUAAUACGCCACACAAUGGCGUUUUCAAUGGGAGACAGGUCUGGACUGCAGGCAGGCCAGUCUAUGACUCGCACUCUUAUAGUGAAGCUAUUCUGUCGUAGCACAUUAGUUUGGGUUUCCCACAGAGGGCCACUAUAGCUGUGAGAAACAGUAAAGGCAUUGGCACCCAAGCCUGUUAAUCAUACGCCAUUUUCCCUGCAGAUUAUUGUUAGAAAUAUUGUUAAAACAUUUUGCACUCAGACGUCAUGAAAAAUUGGAGCAUGUAGGUAAAUAUUUACUCAUACAAGGACUGUUAAAGAAGCAAUUUGGUGAAGAAAAUGCUUGUAAUAUCUGUUGAAAAUAAAGAAAUCGUAAGUGACUGCAAUUGGCUGGAAACCAGUUCAGGGACCUUGUGAGGAUGAACGGAUUAGAAAAUUGCUGAAUGGAUGGAUAUUGUAGGGAAAGAUUUGACAAAAGAAGCGCACGGCCGUUUAAAAAAAAUAAAGGACAACGGAAGGCAACAUCGACUUACUUUA